CGGAAAAUAAUUUAAUAAAUACCCCACCGAUAAUGCGGUUUUGUGAAUAAACCCUCACUUUUCCUA
rnacentral:tRNA from 1 species